rnacentral:SRP_RNA from 1 species
AGGUAGGCUAGACUGGGGGGUUAGCCCUCUCCUGUUACUGUCAACGGGCUUUAGGCAGGGUCGAAGCCUGAAGAAGGUGUGACUGGUUCUGCUGGUCUCAGCAGUUACUGUCGACGUUCUGUCCCAUAGGAUUGCGGCUAUGGGAAUCGGGUCAGGGCCGGAAGGCAGCAGCCCUAACUGUAGUUAGUAAUGUUUAUGGGGUUGCAGAACUGAGGUGCUGUUGGGGUUAAGCCAGUGGAGUCGGUUUUCAUCGACUAAUGGCAUGCCUACCU